rnacentral:rRNA from 1 species
UGGGGAAUAUUGCACAAUGGGCGCAAGCCUGAUGCAGCCAUGCCGCGUGUAUGAAGAAGGCCUUCGGGCUGUAAAGUACUUUCAGUCGGGAGGAAGGUGUCAAGGUUAAUAACCUUGGCAAUUGACGUUACCGACAGAAGAAGCACCGGCUAACUCCGUGCCAGCAGCCGCGGUAAUACGGAGGGUGCAAGCGUUAAUCGGAAUUACUGGGCGUAAAGCGCACGCAGGCGGUUGAUUGAGUCAGAUGUGAAAUCCCCGGGCUUAACCCGGGAAUUGCAUCUGAUACUGGUCAGCUAGAGUCUUGUAGAGGGGGGUAGAAUUCCAUGUGUAGCGGUGAAAUGCGUAGAGAUGUGGAGGAAUACCGGUGGCGAGGGCGGCCCCCUGGACAAAGACUGACGCUCAGGUGCGAAAGCGUGGGGAGCAAACAGG